GGCCAUAACUCUGAGGUAGAGCAUCUGCUUUGCAUGCAGAAGGUCUCAGGUUCGGUUCCUGGCAGUGUCG